UACGUAGGGGGCGAGCGUUGUCCGAAGUUACUGGGCGUAAAGCGCGCGUAGGCGGUUGUUUAAGUUAGAUGUGAAAUCCCGCGGCCCAACUGCGGAACUGCAUCUGAAACUGGGCGACUUGAGGACGGAAGAGGGCAGUGGAAUUCCUGGUGUAGCGGUGAAAUGCGUAGAUAUCAGGAGGAACACCGGUGGCGAAGGCGGCUGCCUGGUCCGUAUCUGACGCUGAGGUGCGAAAGCUAGGGGAGCGAACGGG
rnacentral:rRNA from 1 species